GUCCAGCGGUUAGGAUAUCUGGCUUUCACCCAGGAGACCCGGGUUCGAUUCCCGGCAACGGAAUUUUGCACUAGCUGGCAGGAAAACCAUUCUUUUGUCAAAGACAUUAGAUGGAUACCAUUAAUUAUGAUUAACUAAUGCUAAAUCUAGCAAGAAAAUUCUUAUGUUAAUACCACAUAGUUAGAGUAUGACCCAACAACUAAUACUCAUUAGUUAUUGAUCAUGAUAUUAAUGAAGCUUUCAACACAUUAAUUUAAUAUCAUUCAAAAUUAAUAAUCAUACGUCUAUGAUUGACGUAAAUUUAGCCUAUCUGUCUAGGAUUAAGGCAGGGCUCUUCGGGUAUUAAAAUCUGCUGACGUAAUCCUAUAUGAAGAUACAAGGCAUUCUUGGAAAUUACUUCACCAUUAUAAUAUCCAUACUCCACUGAUUAGCAGCUGAGUUAUCAUAAAUUUAAUGAGUCUCAAAGAGAACAGACGGUGUUAAGGAGGAUGAAACAGGGCGAGAUUGUGGUGCUGCUGAUCAGCGACGCAGGGACACCUGGCAUUUGGGUCCUGAUGCAGAGUUGGCAAGCAUUUUGUAAGUUUUUUAAAUAAAUUUCAGCUCAUAGGUUGAAAGAAUCCGUUGUGCAUGUUUGGUUGAUAAC